GCGGGUGUGAUGUAGUGGCUAGCAUCUGAGUGCGCCACACGAGAGCGUAUGGGUUCGAGUCCCAUCACUCGCU
rnacentral:tRNA from 2 species